rnacentral:rRNA from 1 species
UACGUAGGGUGCGAGCGUUGUCCGGAAUUACUGGGCGUAAAGAGCUCGUAGGUGGUUUGUCGCGUUGUCCGUGAAAACUCACAACUCAAUUGUGGGCGUGCGGGCGAUACGGGCAGACUGGAGUACUGCAGGGGGAGACGUGGAAUUCCUGGUGUAGCGGUGGAAUGCGCAGAUAUCAGGAGGAACACCGGUGGCGAAGGCGGGUCUCUGGGCAGUAACUGACGCUGAGGAGCGAAAGCGUGGGGAGCGAACAGG